GACGAACGCUGGCGGCGUGCCUAACACAUGCAAGUCGAACGAGGUCCAAGGGAGCUUGCUCCCUGACGACCUAGUGGCGAACGGGUGAGUAACACGUGAGAAACCUGCCUCGGAGUGGGGAAUAACUCGGGGAAACUCGAGCUAAUACCGCAUACCUUCACAUGAUCGCAUGGUCGAGUGAAGAAAGAAUUUCGCUCUGAGAGGGUCUCGCGGCCUAUCAGCUUGUUGGUGGGGUAAAGGCCUACCAAGGCAACGACGGGUAGCUGGUUUGAGAGAACGAUCAGCCACACUGGGACUGAGACACGGCCCAGGCUCCUACGGGAGGCAGCAGUGGGGAAUCUUGCGCAAUGGGCGAAAGCCUGACGCAGCAACGCCGCGUGCGGGAUGACGGCCUUCGUGGUUGUACACCGCUUUCAGCAGGGACGAAAUUGACGGUACCUGCAGAAGAAGCCCCGGCUAACUACGUGCCAGCCGCCGCGGUAACAC
rnacentral:rRNA from 1 species